UUCAAGAGAGUUCUCAGAGUUAUCUAUGGCAGAGCUUUGAUCAUCCAACAGACUCAAUGUUAGCAGGAAUGAAGAUAGGCAGGAACUUAAAGAUUGGCUUAGAACGAUAUUUAAAAUCAUGGGAAAGUGUUGAUGAUCCAUCUAUCAGAGAUUUCACUUACAGAAUUGAAGUUCGUGGGCUGCCUCAAAUGGUUGUUAGCAUGGGAUCUGAAAAAAGGCAUCGCUCUGGGCCAUGGAAUGGAACUCAAAACAAUGGUCUCCCAAUGGGCCAGCUUUUGUAUUUACUGAGGAUGUGUUGUUUAUACUGCAUGAGCCUAACAAUGAACCACUCAGGUUUGCUCCAGCGUCUUGUUUUGCACCCAAGAAGCUCUGAAUGGGUUGUCAUGUACUCAAAUCCCGAUGACCCUUCUGACAGGUAUGGGCAGUGUGGUGUUAAUGACAUUUGCAAAAUCAACAAGUCACCAAUUUGCGAGUGUUUGACAGGGUUUGCACAAAAAUCACAAGAGAAAUGGAAAGUACUUGAUGCAUCUGAUGGUUGCAUGCGAAGAAUGUCGUUGGGCUGCCAUAGUGGAGGGGUGUUCGUAAAGGUUGCAGGAGUAAAAUUUCCCGACUUGAUAAGAGUGUCAUUUGCAUAAGAGUAUGAGCCUUAAGGAAUGAGAGGUGGAGUGCUUGAAGAAUUGUUCAUGUACAGCAUAUGCUAAUUCAAAUUUUAAUGGAAGCUGUUUGAUGCGGUUGGGUGACUUAAUCGAUAACAGAGAGUUGACUUCAGAAAAGAGUGGUUAUUCGGUUGCUUGGUGUGUGCAGGUCACAGAUACUUGGGGCGUUGCUCAUUUUUUUAUGCGGUUCAAUUUUCAUAUGCUAGUUAGGGAAUGUUUGGUUUAGACGAGUGCUUGUUAAGAUAUUUGCAUACUGUAUUUGAGGGUAUUGAGAAGGUUUAUGUAAUUUGUAUUUUGUCACAAAAUGAUUAAAAAAAAAAGGGAGACUAUUGGCACAUUAGGCUAUGUAGCUUAAGAUUUGCGUACAGUUUUGUUUUAUUCAUUAGGAUUUAAGAUCUUUUUAGAGUGUCUUAUUUUUCAUUUAAGACUUGAGGUUGCUAGCUACUUGAUUCAACUAGGGUGACACAGAUAAACAUAGAAAGUUUCAAAAAAAGGCAACUCAGUGAUUGUUAAGGUGUGGGAUACACCUAGGUUUUAAAAUUGAACUAAAAAUUAUUUAAUUUGUGCUUGAAAACUCCUUAGUGCUCAAGCAUUGAGAAGCACUCAAGCACUCGAGUCUUUUAAGGGCGCUCAAGCACUAAGGAGCACUCAAGUACUCAAGUCUUCUAAGGGCACUUGCUUAUGGAAGAAUUCUCCUAAAUUCUAGUGAUCGGUCUUUUCCAUUUUAAAAAGGCUUAUUUUUAACAAUUGUCUAGAUCCAUUCAUGAGAUUUUCCUAGGCCCAUACAAAUUUUGCCUAAAAAGGUUCUUGGGUUGAUGCUUUUGAGUUAAACAAAUAUAUAUAUAGAUAAAAUUUACCUUCAUGUUCCCAAAACUCUUAAAGAAAUUCAUUGUUACUUUUAGGGUUGUGAAGCAGAUCUACAUCCCCUUGAUCCACUAAGAGCACACGAGGUGAUGCGUCAUUGACAUGAAGUGGAGUGUACAUGCUAGGGAGUAAGACUUAGGAAUAACUUAUGUUACGUAAAAUUGUGUAUUGUACUUUCAUAUAUUGGAUUAACAAUUUGAGAUCUUUAACUCGGUGGCUUUUACAACCACACAUUACGUGAAACAAUGGUUUGUACAUCUCUUUUAAGUGUUACAUAUACUAGCUAGAUGAUAAAACUUUUGAGCCUCUAUUAUCUCUACUAUAGAGACUUCAAAGCAAAAUGAGUGAAAAAUUAUUAAUAGGCCCUUGUGCUUGGCUUAGGAUCAAUUUCAUCAAAUAUUUUAGGAGAGACAACAUAUAACAAGUCAAAAAGUAGAUAAUUACAACUAAUUUGCUUGUAUGUUUGUGUUUUUAUUAAACAAUUCUAGUUUAAAAAGUGUUUUUGACAAAAAAAAUUUAGGUAUUUGAUAAAAUUUAAAAAAACACUUCUACAAAAUUGAAAAAUAAUUUGUAGUGUUUCAUGGAGAAACACUUUAUAAAUAAUUUUUUUAAAAACACUUAAAAAAAAAUGUUUUCACUAAAAAUACUAUGAUGAGAAAAACUAAAACACACUCUUUAUCAUUCCAUCAAUAUUUUCAUCCUUAGCAUUCUAGGCUCAAGAAACUUCCUAUACGAAUUGGAAAUGUCAUAGAAGGAAAUAUAUUUAGAAGGGAAUCCUGACAAAAAGUCUUUCAAAGCCCCUACAUGAUGUUUGAGUGAUACUUGGUCUCUACAUUGAACGGGUUUUUUUUCCUAUAUCCCCUAGAGACAAAAAAAAUCGGAUAUAAUUUCAAAUGGUUUUCCAAAUAAUGAAUGGGAGGUUCCAAGACUUUAAGGGGAAGAAAAGCAGCAGCCCUGUUGGGGAAAAUCACAUUCGUCAGCAUGAAUAGGAUGAGGGUGCUUGCUACUUAAUGGUUCCACUUAGUAAUUAAAUUUAGUACAAAUUUAAUCAUGUUGGGCUGAUGGACCACAACUACACCAGCAACAAAAGGCGGUUGCAACAACAGAACUCAACAAAACCCAGAUCACUCAAGAACUAUGCAAGUAGUUAGGAAUCUGGUAGUGUAUUUUGAAUUGUGCAAGUAGUUAGAGUCUAGUAACGUAGUUUGUUACAAUAAAAAAUAUAAAUAGCAGAGUAAAGAACCUCUCCAUGAUAUAUGAUUUCUUCCUCUUAAUAUAUAGAAACUAGAUUUUCAUCUUCCUGAUACAAACUUUCAUGGUAUCAGAGUUGCCCCUCUUCAUAUCUCCUUCUCUUUGCAUCAGUUUCAUGAUUUCACCAUGACAAUCUCAACUCAAUCCUCUGGGAUACAAGUUGGAGCUGCCAAUUCAUCCUCAACCAUAGCUUAGUCAAUGCAGAUGUUGAAUCAUGCACUGCCCAUUAAACUUGAUAAAGAUAACUACAUGUUGUGGAUAACCCAAAUGGAGAACUUGAUCUAUGCAAACGGCUUGAAGAUCAUGUUGAAGGUCCUACAGUCCGUCCUUCAAAAACAACAAGCAAUGGUGAAACAAAUCCAGAAUUUAUUCUUUGGCAAAGAUUUGACUGAAUGAUCCUCAGUUGGAUUUACUCCUCACUUAUUCCAGAAAUUAUGGGACAAAGAAUAGGGUAUCAAACCUCCCAUGAAGCAUGGUUUUCUUUGGAAAAGAUUUUCUCGGCUUCAUCCAAAGCUCGGGUGAUGCAAUUACAACUAGAAUUUCAGACCAUGAAGAAAGGAUCUCUUUCAAUGAUGGAUUACAUCCUCAAGUUGAAGAAUCUGGCUGACAGCUUAGCUGCCAUUGGAGAACCAGUACACAAUAGAUAUCAUAUUCUGAAACUGCUAGGAGGGCUUGGUGUAGAAUAUAAUUCCAUUGUGGCCUCUCUUAUAGUAAGAGAAGAUGAAGUUUCACUACAUACGGCGCAUAGGAUUCUAUUAACCUAUGAACAACGCUUGAAUCUUCAAAAUUCAACAAAAGACAAUGUAAUCUCUACAAAUCUCACUACCACGUCGUCAUAUCACCACAAAAACAGAAGGAAUUCCAAUCGAAAUUUCUUAGGAAACAAUAGUAGAAUCUUCAACCCUGGACGUAACUCUCAUGCAAACAGAAACUCAACCUCUCAAAAUUGCCCUCAAUGUCAACUUUGUGGAAAGUUUGGACAUGUUGUGGAUCAGUGUUAUCAUCAUUUCGAUAUAAACUUCCAAGGGGUAAAUAACAAUUUUGAAACCAAGUCCCAUGUAACUAACAAUAACCAAGAUCAAGCCCACGCCAUGAUAACAUCUCCUACCCACUCAUCAGCUUUCUCAAACCACAUCUCUGGACAAUUUACAAUCAUAUAAUGGCAAUGACAAGGUGACAAUCGGGAAUGGUACGCAACUUCCCAUUCUUCAUACUGGUACUAAAAUUUUUCAGUUUCCUUCUAAAGUGUUUCAGUUAAAAAGAGUUCUUCAUGCACCUCAUCUUGCAACCAAUCUUGUUAGUGUCUCUCAAUUCUAUGUUGACAACAAUACAUUUGUUGAGUUUCAUCCUCAGUUCUUUUUUGUCAAAGAACAAGUUACCAAGAAAGUUCUUCUUGAAGGUCAUCUUGAACGAGGAUUAUAUAAGUUUCCUACCAUUUUUAGCUCCUCUACAGAUUGCUUGUUCUUCAACUUCAACAACUCUUCAUUUUCAAAUUCCACGACUGAGCUUUGACAUUCUCGAUUGGGCCAUCCUGCUGAAGAUAUAUUUUGAAACAUGCUCUCAACAAUUGUAAUAUCCCUUAUCAAUAUAAUAAACUCCAAAUUUGUUGUGUCUACCAAUAUGCCAAAAGUCACAAGCUACCAUUUUCGUUGUCUAUGUCAAGAGCAUCUCAUCCUUUAGCACUUGUUCAUGCUGAUAUCUGGGGUCCUGCAUCCACUCCAUAUACUUUUGGUGCACGAUUUUUUCUACUACUCAUAGAUGAUUUCUCAAGAUUUUCUUGGAUUUAUCCACCACACACCAAAGAUUAAGAACUUCCGAUGUUGUAAAAUUUCGCACUUCAGUGGAAAAACAGCUUGACUUCAAAAUUAAGAGCCUACAAUCAGAUGAUGGUGGUGAAUUCAAAGCAUUUUCUUCCUAUCUUGUUGCUCAUGGCAUAGAACACAGGUUUUCCUACCCAUACACACCUGAACGGAAUGGGUGAGUCGAGCGGAAACUGAGACAAGUUACAGAAACUGGUCUUGCUCUUCUAACUAAAGCCUCCUUACCUCUCUCUUUUUGGUUGUAUGCUUUCCAUACUGCUAUAUUUCUCAUCAACUGUCUACCUACCAAGAUGCUUAAAUAUCAAUCUCCCUUUCAAACUCUUUUUGGGAAAACUCCUUAUUAUCAUUUUCUCAAGACAUUCGGUUGUCUUUGCUACCCAUAUAUUCGACCAUAUAAUAAGCACAAAUUGCAAUAUCGUUCUACUCUGUGCAUCUUUCAUGACUAUAGCAACACUCACAAGGGAUAUUUAUGUUUCGAUCCAAAAACUACCAGAUUAUACAUAACCAGACAUGUUGUCUUUCAUGAAUCAAUCUUUCCAACUCUAUCACCUUCAACUUCUUCUAAUCCUAGUUUUUUUCCGUUUCCACUCCUGUUUUUCUUCCCAUACACAUGUCUCCUUCUCAUGCUUUACAUUCUAUUGAUGCUCAACAACAUAACCCCACACCUUUGUCUUCAUCACUUCACUUAUCUUUUGACCACAUCCUUCCUACUAUACAUAACAAUGUUCCUCAACAUCCUCCCAUUAUUAAUAGUCAUCUUAUGAUCAUGCGUGCCAAGGAUGGCAUUAUAAAAAAGAAGGCCUUCUUGUCUCACAUGCCCAUGGAACUAGCAACAUUUGCUUAGGCUUCCAAAAGUAUCUACUGGACCAAGGCUAUGCAACAAGAGUAUGAUGCUCUACUAAAAAUGGAAACAUGGAAUCUAGUUCCUACUCCUCCAAAUGCCAAUAUUAUUGAUUGCAAAUGGGUCUACAAAUUAAAACAUAACCCAGAUGGCACCAUUGCUCAUUCCAAGGCUCGCCUAGUUGCCAAAGGUUUUACCCAAACACAUGGCCUUGACUACUUUGAGACUUUCAGCCUCGUUGUCAAAGCUUCAACCAUCAGAAUAGUGCUUGCUCUAAUUAUCUCAUAUAAUUGGACAAUUCGUCAGCUUGAUGUAUAGAACGCCUUCCUCAACGGUGACCUCCAAGAGCAGGUCUUCAUGAGCCAACCACCUGGUUUUAUCAACACCCGGUUUCCUACUCACGUCUGCAAACUUAACAAAGCCAUUUAUGGGCUUAAGAAAACUCCUAGAGCAUGUUACACCAAGCUCGGUCAUGCUCUUCUUGGCUGGGGUUUUCAAGCUUCCUGUGCAAAUAGCUCCAUGUUUUUUCCUCACAUUGCCAACGAUGUGCUUAUCUUGUUAAUCUAUGUUGAUGACAUCCUCGUAAUAGGUAGUGACCCUCAUCGUGUUUCUUCAUUUGCUUCUUGUCUUAAUGCUACAUUUGCUCUUUCGAGAUCUUGGUCAUUUUCACUAUUUUCUUAGUCUGGAGAUUAUGCAAGCAGAAAACUCAGUCCAUUUAAAUCAACACAAAUAUGUCCACGAUCUUCUUCAAAGUACCAGUAUGUUUGAAUCCAAGUAUGCUUCUACACCUGGUAUGGUUGGUCAAAAUUUAUCCAAACAUGAUGGAGGUCAUUUCCAUGAUGUCACACUAUAUCAGAGCAUAGUUGGUGUUAUUCAAUAUCUCACUCUCAUAAGACCUGAUAUUUCAUUUGUUGUCAACAAGGAGUGCCAGUUUAUGAGUAGCCCCUCCAACACACAUUGGCUUGCUGUAAAAUGCAUCUUACGCUACCUCAACUUAUGGUCUUUCCAUGUAACCAUCUUCCGCGUUGGACAUUCAAGCAUACAUUGAUGUCGAUUGGGCUUCUUGUCCAAAUGACAGAAGAAGCACUAGUGGCUAUUGUAUUUUCAUUGGACCAAACUUGGUUUCAUGGUCAUCCACUAAGCAGAAAAUUGUUUCAAGGAGCAGUGCGGAAUCUGAGUAUCGUGGACUAGCUGUUGCCACUUUCGAGAUUGCCUGGAUUCAAUCUCUACUCACCGAGUUAUGUCUUUCUCCUACAAUACCACCAAUUCUUUGGUGUGACAACCAAAGUGCUACCCAUCUUGCUGCCAAUCCUGUUUUUACACACCAACAAAGCAUAUUGAACUCGACCUUCAUUUUAUUCGUGAUAAAGUUCUUCAGAACCAACUCCAUAUUCAGUAUCUUCCUUCUUCCGACCAAAUUGCUGACAUCUUCACCAAACAUAUCUCAAGUUCUUAGUUUUUUUAGCUUUCGGACCAAAUUCUCUAUUGUUUCCAAACCCAUGAGCUUGCGGGGGGAUGAUAGACCACAACUACACCAGCAACAAUCACAACUGCACCAGCAACAGAAGGCAGUUGCAACAAUAGAACUCAACAAGACCCAGAUCACUCAAGAACUGUGCAAAUAGUUAGGAAUCUGGUAGUGUAGCUUGAACUGUGCAGGUAGUUAGAGUCUGGUAACAUAGUUUGUUACAGUAAAAAAAUAUAAAUAGCAUAGUAGAGAACCUCUCCAUGAUAUGUAAUUUCUUCCUCUUAAUAUACAGAAACUAGAUUUUCAUCUUCCUGAUACAAACUUUCACGGGCCAACCUAAUGUUGUUUAAUCUAUUUAACCGUGGAAAUUAGGGAAGUCUUUGAAGAAAAUGAUGGUCAACUUCUUCUACAUUAGAUUAUGCUUUACCUACGGACUAUGCUUUUAAGUCUCAAGACAUUUUGAGAGCCAAUUUUGUUUUUUCCGUUAAGAUAUGGUUAAACCUCGAUAAAUUGAUAUAGGUUUGCUCUAUGGAAAAUCUAUGAAUUAAGCUAAUAUUACUUACUCAUGUGAACUAAUGCAGCUUGAACAUGGCCUACCGAGUCAACAUCAUAAUUAGGUAUGGGUAUAACAACCAAAUACAGAAAGGGGUCCGAGUCCAAUAUAGACAUACUAGUCCCUGUCACGAAAAAGAUGUAGAUGAAGUUGUCAAGGGUCAGUAUAGAAGCUCCGAUGCAAGUGUUUCCUCUUGGUUUUUUCAGAAUUGUAAAUGGAGGGGCUUCCUUUCUUCACCUUCUUUUGCUCUUUGAUUUCUUCCUCAAUCUUCUUGAAAUUUUGUGUCGCAUCAGAUACCAUAACUCCAACCCAGUCCAUGGUUGAUGGUGAGACUUUAGUUUCAUCAGGCCAAAGGUUUGAACUAGGCUUCUUCUCGCCUGAAAACUCCAAGAACAGGUACCUAGGAAUAUGGUACAAGAGUGCCCCACAUACAGUUGUGUGGGUGGCAAACAGAAACAACCCCAUCACAGAUUCACAUGGAGUUUUAACUAUCAGCAUAAACGGAACACUUGUUCUUCUCAACCAGGAAGGGAGCGUGGUCUGGUAUUCGGGUUUAUCAGGAAUAGCAGAAAAUCCAGUUGCACAGCUCCUAGACUCUGGAAACUUUGUUCUGAGAGAUAGUCUUAGCAAGUGUUCUCAAAGCUAUCUCUGGCAGAGCUUUGAUUACCCAUCUGACACACUGUUAGCUGGCAUGAAGCUAGGCAGGACCUCCAACCCUGAUCUAGAACGAUAUUUGAUAUCAUGGAAAAGCCCUGAUGAACCAUCCAAUGGAGACUUCACUUGGAGAUUAGAUACUCCCAGGCUGCCUCAACUGGUUGUUGCAACGGGAUCAACCAAAAAGUACCGCACUGGGCCAUGGAAUGGAAUUCGAUUUAGUGGUAUUCCGGUGUUUCCCAACGAGCAGCACUAUUCACACAUAAUGAUCUUUGAUAAGGAGAAUGCAUAUUACAUGCUUUCAUUUGACAACUACUCUGCUAAUACGAGAACAACCAUCAAUCACUCAGGCUUCAUCCAAUGGCUUCGAUUGGAUGAACACAAUGCGGAGUGGGUUCCUUUGUACAUAUUACCAUAUGACCCAUGUGACAAUUAUGGACAGCGUGGUGCUAAUAGCAUUUGCAGGAAUUCCAGAACACCAAUCUGAUUAAUAAACCUACAAAAUCAUUCAAAUUGGAUUUGAUUAAACCCAGGUAUCAUAGACAUUCCCUCAUUUCCACCUCGGAACAUUUUUUGUUUCCCAUUUAUCGAAAAAAAUCUCAUUAUUGUAAUUGGAUUGGUUCAUUCUUCAUCAAAUCAUAUGGAUCGAUCAAGAUCUAGCAAUGAUGGAAUUUAUAAAUCGCAUGAAGUUUUACCCAACUCCAUAAAUCCAAUCUAAUGCAUUAAAUACAUAUGAUUGGAGGAAUAAAGAGAAAUCAUCUACGUUUCAGCUACUCAUAAGUUCUCUGCACACAUACAAACACAAGGGAAAGUGAGGAAUGAAGCAAUUAAACCAAAGUGAUUUAACAAUUUUUUAUUGUGAAGAAGAAUUUAGUAUUUUAAGCUUUAGUUUGACUCAAUUUUUUCCGUUCACUUGGAAAAAAUUGAAUCUGAAGCUACCUAGAAGCUAACCAGAAAGGACAUGUCAUCAUUGUUCUUUUAACUAUAAAUUUUAUUUUGGGCAUGGCCUAGGUUGAGAAAGGUCCAAUAAGGAUUAGAAAAGUCAUGGAAAGAGAUGUAUAUAGAAGGGAAUCUCAAUAUAUAAAAGUGAUAAAUCAAGUUCAUUCGUCCGCAUGAAAAGGACCAGGGUCGACUUCAUAAUAGUUCCUACUUUCAAAGCGUGGAAAUUAGGGAAGGCAAUUGCGGUCGUGUUCUGCCACCUAGGGUAGGUAAGACCAUUGCAUUUGACUCUCUACCUCAUGUUCAUGUGAUGAUUAUGACGUAGGUGGACAACUGUUUUAUCAGAUUAGAAGCAUAGAAUUCCAAGAAUAUUGAAGACAAAUCAAGGGCAAAAGAAGGCGAAGAUUAACAGAUGGAUUAUUACUCAGAAAGGAAACUAAGGGUGAAUCUUCCCAGACAAUGACACAGAAAUGGGUGAUGGGUGCUGCCGUCCCUUUUUCAAGGCUGCUGUAUCCCAUACAGUUAAUCAAUCUGUACGAAAUUAAUGUUUUAUUGUUUUAAGAGACUUCAAUUUUGUUCAAACCUCUCACCAGUCUUAUGGUGUAUAAUCCUGUGAAAUUAUAACUGAAAAAAGUACUACCCUCCACCUCCAGAGUAUAUAGUCAUCCCAUCUUAGACUCGGUAACAGAUGAUUCACAUAGGCUCUUUCCUUAGGACUAAUAUGGAAUGAAUUCAGGUAAAUGGAGAUAGAUGUUUAUCAAAUUAACAGAGGCAAACCAGACAUCAAGAUUGGCGUGCCAAGCAACCAUUGAGAUGCUAAAGUUCCAGGCCCUAUGACACAAACUCAUUUCAGACAGUAUGAUCUUCUGACUUCCCUUUUUUAAAAAGAAACAUUCAAUUAGGGAACACUUAGGAGGACUCUACAAUUUUAUAUUUCAGUAAGUUGUUUUUCAUUGGACUUGGAAAAUUCCUAGUCACCCUGUUGAGACAGUUCUUCCAAUUGAAAUGCUUAAGCCCUUAAACCUACAUAACGUCAGUACUUUUUUUUUUAAGUAGUGUAUAGAAGUAUUUCUUUCAUCUCUGAGAAACGUUCGAUGGAGACCCAUCUUUUCUUGGCCUUCUUUUGUGCCGGGAUCUGUCUCUCAGUUCCCUUGGAGUUCUGUAUUGCAGCUGAUUCCAUAAGGAUGGACCAAUCCAUAAGCGAUAGUGAGACUUUAGUUUCCUCGGGCCAAAGCUUUGAACUAGGCUUCUUCUCUCCUGGAAGCUCCAAAAACAGGUACUUGGGAAUAUGGUACAAGAAUACACCCCAGACAGCUGUAUGGGUUGCAAACAGAAACAACCCAAUUGCAGAUUCUUACGGAGUUUUAACCAUCAUCAACAAUGGGGCACUUGUUCUUCUCAACCAGUCAAAGAGUGUAAUCUGGUCUCCCAAUUUGUCAAGGGUGCCAGAAAAUCCAGUUGCACAGCUCCUGGAGACUGGAAAUCUUGUUCUCAGGGACGGUAGUAAUGAAACUUCUAAAAGCUAUAUAUGGCAGAGCUUUGAUGAUCCAUCAGACACAAUGUUGCCAGGCAUGAAGGUGGGAUGGAACUUAAAGACUGGUCUACAACGAAAAUUGACAUCAUGGAAAAGUUCUGAUGACCCAUCCCUUGGAGACUUCUCCUACGGAUUUGAUAUUAAUGUGCUGCCUUACCUGGUUCUCGGUGUGGGAUCAAGCAAAAUAGUCCGUUCCGGGCCAUGGAAUGGACUUGAAUUCAAUGGUGUUUAUGUGUUGGACAACUCGGUUUACAAAGCAGUUUUUGUUGCCAACAACGAUGAGGUAUAUGCCCUCUAUGAGUCUAACAACAAUAAGAUCAUUUCAAGACUAACAUUGAACCAUUCAGGUUUCCUCCAGCGUCUGCUAUUAAAAAAAGGGAGCUCUGUAUGGGAUGAAUUGUACUCCAUUCCCAGUGAACUUUGUGAAAAUUAUGGCCAUUGUGGUGCUAAUGGUAUCUGCAGAAUUGGCAAGCUGCAGAUUUGUGAGUGUUUGACAGGUUUCACACCAAAAUCACAAGAAGAAUGGGACAUGUUUAAUACAUCAAGUGGAUGCACACGAAGAAUGCCUUUGGAUUGCCAAAUUGAAGAGGGAUUUGUAAAGGUUACAGGGGUGAAAUUGCCCGACUUGAUAGACUUUCAUGUGAUUAUGGGUGUGAGCCUUAGGGAGUGUAAGGUAUCGUGCUUGAACAACUGUUCUUGUACAGCAUAUGCCUACACAAAUCCUAAUGGAAGCGGUGGCUGUUUGAUGUGGUCUGGGGACCUGAUUGAUAUCAGAGAGUUAACUUCAGAAAAACAUGCAGAGGACAUCUAUAUCCGCAUGCACACUUCAGAGCUAGGUAAGACACUUGAUUUUCUGAAAAUCACUUUUUGAUUGUAAGCUAUUGGGUUGUCUCCAAUAGCCUAAGCCCUAAGUUAUCCUGGUAAAUCAAGAUGCAGAAUUACUUAGAUUCCAAAGUCAGAGAUUCAAUUUCACAAGAAGAUUAUAAUCUAGUUAAAACCAAGACCCUAUAUUAUAUUCCAGAAGAACCAUAGCUGUUAGGAUUCAGGUUAACUAAUGAUGAACUGACUUGUAAAAACCCUAACAAGCAGAAAGCAAACAUCCAAUUCAUUUUCUGAAGAAACAGGGGAAUCUGGGGAAAUGGUUACUUCAUUCUUGUUACUGUCUGUUCCAGGGUUAAACACUAAUCAGAAGAAGAAAAAACUAGUGAUCAUCCUUGUUAUAUCUACCUUUUCUGGAAUCCUCACCUUGGGCUUGUCAUUCUGGUUUCGAUUUUGGAAGAAGAGAACAAUGGGAACAGGUAUGCAUACAAAUCCACCUAGAUGAUUUUAUUGAAGGAAAACCAUGUGGUAGUGCUUUAAAAGCAGCUUCUAAAUUAUUAUCCCAUUUAACAGACCAGGAAAGCAAGAAGGAGAACUUAGAGUUACCUUUGUUUGACUUGCCCACCAUUGCAACUGCUACUAACAACUUCUCUAACACCAACAAGAUUGGAGCAGGUGGCUUUGGGUCUGUGUACAAGGUAAUAUGCGCCCUCUUAUGCAUCAUUGCAUCUUGGUAACCCAAAAAUGAUUUCAAAAGAAAGAAGAAGAGAAAAUAUUUGCAUCUUACACAUCAUAUUUUGCAGGGCAAUCUACCAGAAGGAGUAGCAGUUGCAGUGAAGAGAUUGUCCAAGAAUUCAGCACAGGGUGUUCAAGAGUUCAAGAAUGAAGCUGUUUUGAUUGCAAAACUUCAGCACAAGAAUCUUGUCAGGCUUUUGGGCUGCUGCAUUCAAGGAGAAGAAAGAAUAUUACUCUACGAAUAUAUGCCCAACAAGAGCUUGGAUUAUUUUAUUUUCGGUUUGAGCUUCUUAUCCCUAUCUGCUAGUAUUAGUUUCACUUUUUGAUCACCCAUAUUAUGCUCAUUCAUGUUCAACUCAAUUCACACAUCUAAGUAAUGAAUUAGGCCUAAUAAUAAAAUUUAUAAAGGCAAAAGUAUUGUGCAGAUCAAAACAGAAGAGCAUUAUUGGCAUGGGAUAAGCGUUGCGAGAUUGUUAUGGGGAUAGCACGAGGGCUUCUCUACCUCCAUCAAGACUCUAGAUUUCAAAUUAUUCACAGGGAUCUCAAGACAAGCAAUAUUUUACUGGAUGACAAUCUCAACCCUAAAAUUUCAGACUUUGGCUUGGCAAGAAUUUUUGGAGAGAAUGAAAUGGAAACGAGAACAAAGAGAAUUGUUGGGACUUAGUGAGUAAUAAACCUUUAUAAUCUUAUAAAAUGGAAUUUAUCCCUUCAAAGAACUUAUACUUGAAAAUGUUGGUGCAGUGGCUAUAUGUCCCCGGAGUAUGUGAUUGAUGGGCACUUUUCUAUCAAAUUGGAUGUCUUUAGCUUUGGUGUUCUUUUACUAGAGAUUGUCAGUGGUGAAAAGAACAGAGGGUUCUCUCAUCCAGAUCACCACCAUAACCUUCUGGGACAUGUAAGUAGAAAGACCGCAAUGGUGUUUCCUCUCUCUCUCUCUCUCUCUCAAUUUGUCUCUACUCUCUAGCUUUUUCUAGGUUUUGUGAAAGACAACAAAUAUGAUUUUUGUUCUAGGCAUGGCUGCUGUGGGAACAAAACAGGGCCUUGGAAUUAAUGGAUGCAUGUUUGGAAGAUUCAUGUGUUGCAUCGCAAGUAUUACGAUGCAUACAAGUAGGUUUACUAUGUGUUCAAAACCUUCCAGCAGACAGACCAGCAAUGUCAUCAGUGAUUUUCAUGUUGGGUAACGAGGGAGCAACAUUGCCUCAACCUAAACAUCCUGGUUUCUUCACAGAAAGAUCUUCCGUGGAUACAGAUACAAUGUCAGGAAAGAUAGAGUUACAUUCAGAAAAUGCAGUAACCAUCUCAAUGCUAAAAGGUAGAUAAAGAAUUCAAACACUGCUUAGUGAAUUAUUUAUGUAGGUGCCAGCUUCUCUGACUAAAACGGGCUGCAAAGGUUCCUCUGUUGUGGCUCAGGGCACUGUAAUCUGCAACUUAAGAUUCACUAGUAUUCUAAAUUCAGAUUCCCUCUGGAUCAGGUUGGUAAUAAGCAGAAGAACAUGUAUUCUACAGUCACCUUAUGUGCUACUGUCUCUCUCAUUUUUGCCUUUUCUCCUCAGGAUGCAUAGGGCUUAUAUGAUUAGUGAACUGUACACAAAACUAUAAUCCGGUUCUAACCAUUUAAUUUCAAUUAUCUUGAGAAUUUUUGAAGGUCUAAAAUCCUUUGAAACAUCAAUAGGAAAUGCAGAUCAGAUAGUAAAAACUAGUCAAAUAAGGCUUCUUCUUGUGACUGUUAUAAAGCCAUAGGAUGAUGGCUUGGAAUAAUUUCAGGCAAAUGGGGAAAAGAAUUGAAAAUCAACAAAGAUAAGUUAGAAUCAGAUGACUUCAUCUGAAUUCUGUUGUCUCUUUGUAAAAAGAACAUUUAAAAGUACACUGAAAAUUACAGUGUAUUCAGCAGUAGGUAAUGUGCUUCUUCAAGAUCUCUCAACAUGAAACUAAAAGAGUUCUUUCUUAAGUUCAUUUUGGCAAGGUCUAAGGUUUCUUUGGGUUUGUAAAUUUAUCUUUGGUAGCUUUUGUGAAUGGCUUGCCUUUCAGUUAGAAGCCUCCUAUGUCAAAAAACACAUACACACACACACACAAAGAAUCAUCAUGCCAAAUGACGAUUUUUCUUCAAGUUAGUAUCAUUGGAACCAACAAUUCAUAAAAGAAUUCCUUGCAAAACAUGAUAAUUCUAAUUAAUCUAAUUAAUAUAUCUCACCAUGCUGUAUAUUUCAAACCUCUUCUUUUUCAUGUUUCCGGAAAAACAUCAAAGAUUUUUGGAAAAUAUUGACUGAAUAAGUUAGUACACAGUGGGAGCACCAUAAUGACAGCUCUCAACCUUAUAAGAGAAAGGAUUGGGGAAAUAUUUGGUCCCCAUAUGAGAACUAAGGAUGUUUCAGAAAUAAUAAUUAAUUUAAAAAGCAACGCACAGAAUAAAGUUUCUUACUCCACAAGAUAUUUCUUAUGUUGCAGGCAUAUUACAGCUGCACAAACAUGGUGCACUUGUAGCUGUUUUGAUCCAUCUGUGAAAAGUACUAUCUUUCCUAAAUCCCUCAUAAAAACAAGACUUCACUUGUUCAUGAUCUAUACCUGUAUAUUUUCAUUUAUCUUCUAAAAUCUAUCUUAUCUGCAAUAGAAAUGUUGACGGGGUAUCAUCGCUGCCUUCGUUUUUGCCUUGGUUUCUUUCUUAAUCCUCUUUGAAUUCUUGAUUGCAUUGCUGCUAUAGCUAAGAGUUAAUCUUUAAGUGAUGGUGAGACUUUAGUAUCCUCAGGCCAAAGCUUUGAGCUAGGCUACUUCUCUCCUGGAAAGUCAGAGAACAGGUGCUUAGGAAUAUGGUACAAAAGUACCCCAAAGACAGUUGUUUGGGUUGCAAACAGAGACGACCCAAUAGCAGAAUGUUACAGGAUUUUAACCAUCAAGAGUAGCAGAGAAUACAGUUGCACCGCUCCUAGAUACUGGAAACCUACUUCUCAGGGAUGGCAUUCAAGAGAGUUCUCUGAGUUAUUUAUGGCAGACCUUUGAUUAUCCAACAGACACAAUGUUAGCAGGAAUGAAGAUAGGCAGGAACUUAAAGACUGGCUUAGAACGAUAUUUAAAAUCAUGGAAAAGUGCUGAUGUUCCAUCUAUCGGAGAUUUCACUUAUAGAAUUGAAGUUCGUUGGCUUUCAAAAAUGAAAAGAUGGGUCAAGUUGAGAUUGGGUCAUUUGGGUUUGAAAAAGUUCGAAAUUUCUUAAAUCAUAGAGUGGCAAAGAGAGUAGGGUGAUGAACCCAUUUGGUUGUGGAAGAUUUCCUUCACUUGGGCAUGUGUUUUAUUCAAACGAUGCGUUUUACUCUGUAGAGGAAGAGGAAACGGAGAAAAUCGAGUGCUUAUUUGAACUGAGCUUUAAAGUGACCAAAACGAUGCGUUUUGAUGGAGGGCGUAGAAAACGGAGGAAAUUUUGCAUCUUGAUCUGUCACAGAUAAUUUUGAUUUAAGAAUUUUGGAAUAACUACUUUUGCUUAUGUGGCAGCAUUUGGUUGGUCACUGCCAUCUGCGGCAAAACACUCACAGUAGAGAAGCUAGACUCAGGUGAAUUUCCCGCCGACUUGGCCGUUUAUAUAUAACCCCUACAACCCCAACAACCAACUUAUACCCAGUUAGAGAGAGAUAGUUGGUGUUGUAGUUAGGACUCAGAAGUGAUUUUCAGCUAUAAGUUUUCACGGGAACCAAACACCAAGAUCAUCGAGAAGAUGGACUUCCACCCUUUGCAGGUUUCACCACUGCCAAGGAAAGAUCAAGAUCUCCAAGAAUACAUCAACGUAGUACCAGAAGAAUAUGUGGCCAUUGAAGACCACUUGGAGAAUCCCAAUUUUCAACUUCACGUCCGUGAAAUCAUAAAGGUGACGCCAAUAAUUAAUAAGAACAAUCUUCACUUCUUUUUUUGUUUUUUUGUUUUUUGUUUUUUCAUAAUCUUUUUAGUUCUGAA
rnacentral:lncRNA from 1 species